CAAUAGCGUAUAUUUAAGUUGCUGCAGUUAAAAAGCUCGUAGUUGGAUUUCGGGUGGGAAUGGCCGGUCCGCCGUUUCGGUGUGCACUUGCUACGCCCACCUUGCUGCCGGGGACGUGCUCUUGAGUUCACGCUCGGGACACGGAGUCGGCGAGGUUACUUUGAGUAAAUUAGAGUGUUCAAAGCAGGCCUACGCUCUGAAUACAUUAGCAUGGAAUAACACGAUAGAACUCUGGCCUAUCUUGUUGGUCUGUAGGACCGGAGUAAUGAUUAAGAGGGACAGUCGGGGGCAUUCGUAUUUCAUUGUCAGAGGUGAAAUUCUUGGAUUUAUGAAAGACGAACUACUGCGAAAGCAUUUGCCAAGGAUGUUUUCAUUAA
rnacentral:rRNA from 1 species